rnacentral:rRNA from 1 species
UGGGGAAUAUUGGACAAUGGGGGAAACCCUGAUCCAGCGACGCCGCGUGUGUGAAGAAGGCCUGCGGGUUGUAAAGCACUUUCGGUGGGAACGAAAUGUGCCGGGCUAAUACCCCGGUAAGCUGACGUUACUCAAUGAAGAAGCACCGGCUAACUCUGUGCCAGCAGCCGCGGUAAUACGUAGGCAGCGAGCGUUGUUCGGAGUUACUGGGCGUAAAGGGUGUGUAGGCGGUGCUCUAAGUGUGGUGUGAAAUCUCCCGGCUCAACUGGGAGGGUGCGCUACGAACUGGAGUGCUCGAGUGCGGGAUGGGAGAGUGGAAUUCCUGGUGUAGCGGUGAAAUGCGUAGAUAUCAGGAGGAACACCGGUGGUGUAGACGGCUCUCUGGACCGCAACUGACGCUGAGACACGAAAGCGUGGGUAGCAAACAGGAUUAGAUACCCCCGUAGUCCCUGAGCGGGCUGGCAAGGCGCAU